UUAGCAGCAACUUUCAAGUCACCUGGGCAGAUCGUACUAACGGUACUGACGGACGAAGGGGUGCUACGUCCACUGCCACAGUCAAUACCGGAAGGAGUGCUGCAGCCACUGUGUUAAUGACCACGUUACGCAAAGGUGAUGCAGGGAACCGGAAGAACACAGAAAACGGGUACAGAGAAGUUAGAAGGAAGUGGCCACAGAAGAGGGGCCCUGUGUCUACUAAGUGGAGGAAAUGACAUAAUAGCAGCAAGAGUGGCCUUUUAUAAACAUCCAGGACAACGUUGAAAGAGCUCCAGGUGAUUUAAAUAAGACACUUCUCAGGGACUCUAGACCCAGUGAAAUAUUGUCCUGCUGUUCAGGAACCUAUUCUUAGUGACUCAGAAUGCAGAUGCUAAUGCUAUCUCCUGAGGCUGUCUUGGUCAUGUGGCAAGAUCACCCAUAAAGGGGAAGGUGACUUCAACUAGUUCCCAACCAGAUGUGUUCUUCCACAGACAACGAACAUCCCUGGGACUGUGUUCAGAGGGUAUAUUUCUGGAUGCAACUUGUUUAAAACUAUCCAGACACAUUUCAUUUUCACAUUCAGGUUUAUAAAAAAAAAAAAAAUCUCGCCUAUAUUUUGAAUUUUCACUCUGAAUUUAAAUUGUUGCAUAUUUCCAUAUAAAAACGCUGGUGCUUUCAAUGGCUUCAAAUGUGAUGAAGUGAUCAAAUGAGCCAGAGUUAAUACUAAAACACCAGGUGCGUUGGCGCAUAAAUCCACUACACCUGUUUGACUUCAGAUUAAGGAAGCUGUUCAUUCACAGUGCACUAAUAGCUUGGGGUGUAGCCUCAAAAUUCUGUCUUUGAUGAAACAUCCCUGGGAGAGAGCAAAAAGUUGUGAGGCUAGACCAAAUAGUGAGGGGCCAGAGGAAGAAAGGCAGAAGGGAGAGAUGUUUCCACCAGCCUUUAGGGUCUGAACACAGGUACCUGUUAUUUAUUUACCUGUUUUUAGAAGAUUCCUGUUAUUCUGCACUAUUGAGGUACCUGCAAGUGACACACCUGUGAACCCUUUGUCCUUGUCACCACAUUCAAGUUAAAGUAACACAGAAGAAAGC